UACGGAGGGGGCUAGCGUUGCUCGGAAUCACUGGGCGUAAAGGGUGCGUAGGCGGGUCUUUAAGUCGGGGGUGAAAUCCUGGAGCUCAACUCCAGAACUGCCUUUGAUACUGAGGAUCUUGAGUACGGGAGAGGUGAGUGGAACUGCGAGUGUAGAGGUGAAAUUCGUAGAUAUUCGCAAGAACACCAGUGGCGAAGGCGGCUCACUGGCCCGUAACUGACGCUGAGGCACGAAAGCGUGGGGAGCGAACAGG
rnacentral:rRNA from 1 species